rnacentral:tRNA from 2 species
GGCCCCAUCGUCUAGCCUGGUCAGGACGGGAGAUUCUCAGUCUUCAAACACGGGUUCGAAUCCCGUUGGGGCUACUA